UAGCUAUGGCUCAACAAAGUGCUGCGCCUCUCGUAGCCAGUUGUAAAAUCACAAGGAGACGACAAGAUCAAGUUUAGAUAUUACACGUGCCUUAAAAAGACGCAGCUAAACCUGUAAUGAUCAGAUCACUAUGUUAUGAGCCACAAGAAAAAGGCAAAGUAGACCGCUGACCCUUCAACAAGCAACCCUCUUGAACGGGCAUCUUCUUGUUCUCAGGUGCUGGACUGUGUCUCCCCCUGCAGGAUGAAAAGGGAAACGAUAAAAAGGGAUUAAACUCAUCUCUGUGGAAAUUGUAUUUACAUUGGGAGCAAAGCAGACUGAUUUUAUUCUACAAAAAAGGUUAAUGGUAAACUGCACAUAUCUGCAUGUUUAAAUACAUAUUUAUUAAUAGCAGCGCCAAAAAUGCAUCUAACGUGUCAGUAUACGUAGGCUUUUGUUUAAACAACCAACAGCACAAUGUUAUUUUUCAGUCACUCAAGAUAUAUUCGCAUCCUUCAGCCAGGAAAAACAUAAAAGCUACAUCCUUACUUCAAUUACAAUUUAAGUUGGAGCCAGAGUUUCCUCCUGGACAGAAGAGGGGGCUGUUUGUCGCGAGCUUCACGCUCACUCAGCCGCCAUAAUGAGACCCGUUUGUGAGUUUUGAGUGGAGCGUCAGGCUGCAGAUUAAAAACAGAAAUUUAACAGCGGCUGAUGAUUGUACGGACUACGUCUGAUGCCGGAACACAGUUGUGUAGCGAAGACAAACACAACUCUACACCAGCCACAGUUUUGUCGUCUAAUUCCAUCAUUUUAGCUGCAAGGUUUCAGAAAUUAAGUAUAAAAAAGAAAGAAACGCUUGCUAUGUCUGGUGAAACCAACUUUGUG
ensembl:lncRNA